UACGUAGGGGGCAAGCGUUGUCCGGAAUCAUUGGGCGUAAAGAGCGUGUAGGCGGCUCGGUAAGUCCGCUGUGAAAGUCCAGGGCUCAACCCUGGAAUGCCGGUGGAAACUGUCGAGCUCGAGUCCGGAAGAGGCGAGUGGAAUUCCUGGUGUAGCGGUGAAAUGCGCAGAUAUCAGGAGGAACACCAAUGGCGAAGGCAGCUCGCUGGGACGGUAACUGACGCUGGAGACGCGAAAGCGUGGGGAGCAAACAGG
rnacentral:rRNA from 1 species